UACGGGGGGGGCAAGCGUUGUUCGGAAUUACUGGGCGUAAAGGGCUCGUAGGCGGCCAACUAAGUCGGAUGUGAAAUCCCCAGGCUUAACCUGGGAACUGCAUCCGAUACUGGAUGGCUUGAAUCCGGGAGAGGGAUGCAGAAUUCCAGGUGUAGCGGUGAAAUGCGUAGAUAUCUGGAGGAAUACCGGUGGCGAAGGCGGCAUC
rnacentral:rRNA from 1 species